rnacentral:rRNA from 1 species
GAGUUUGAUCAUGGCUCAGAUUGAACGCUGGCGGCAGGCUUAACACAUGCAAGUCGAACGAUGAUUACUAGCUUGCUAGUAUGAUUAGUGGCGAACGGGUGAGUAAUGCUUAGGAAUCUGCCUAUUAGUGGGGGACAACAUUCCGAAAGGAAUGCUAAUACCGCAUACGUCCUACGGGAGAAAGCAGGGGAUCGCAAGACCUUGCGCUAAUAGAUGAGCCUAAGUCGGAUUAGCUAGUUGGUGGGGUAAAGGCCUACCAAGGCGACGAUCUGUAGCUGGUCUGAGAGGAUGAUCAGCCACACUGGGACUGAGACACGGCCCAGACUCCUACGGGAGGCAGCAGUGGGGAAUAUUGGACAAUGGGCGAAAGCCUGAUCCAGCCAUGCCGCGUGUGUGAAGAAGGCCUUUUGGUUGUAAAGCACUUUAAGUGGGGAGGAAAAGCUAAUAAUUAAUACCUAUAGCCCUGACUA